rnacentral:rRNA from 1 species
GACGUGAGGUGCGAGCGUUAUCCGGAUUCAUUGGGCGUAAAGAGUUGCGUAGGUGGUCCGAUGCAUUUUGUUUUAAAUGCUAUAGCUCAACUAUAGUUUAUGGCAAAAUAUGAUCGGACUUGAAGAAUAAAGAGGAUGCUGGAACCAAUCGUGUAGCAGUGAAAUGCGUUGAUAUGAUUGGGAACACCAAAGGCGUAGGCAGGCAUCUGGGUAUUUCUUGACACUGAGGCACGAAAGCUCGGGGAGCGAAAAGG